CAUCAUGAUCUAGCUGGAUCUGCAAUAUAGACAGGAAAAGGUUGACAUUAGGAGUGCAUAGGUCCUGAGCAUCUACACGCGGUGCCACUGGGUCGCCAGAAGAACAGCGCACUUCAGGGGCACAGAGUGGGGUUGAAGGGUCUGCACACCAGCGCUUGCAGGGUGAGCAGCAAGAGAUCCAGCUCACAGAACCAAACCUGCUGCGAUCCAUGUGACACUGGCAUACUCCAGAAUUGUCCAUUGGAAACACGAGUUCAAGUGCCUCAGGGAGAUUCAGGAGGAGGAACACAGCCCACCCACACUGCACCCCCUUUGCAGUCUGAAGGCAAAGGAUGCUCUGCAGAGCAGCUUGGUUUAGGAGAGACCUGCGGUAGCAGAGGGUGUGGCAGGCAGACCCCUCGGCCUCCCUUAGCUACCUUUUCC
rnacentral:lncRNA from 1 species